CGAAGGGGGCUAGCGUUGUUCGGAAUUACUGGGCGUAAAGCGCGCGCAGGCGGUUCUUCGAGUCAGAGGUGAAAGCCCAGAGCUCAACUCUGGAAUGGCCUUUGAGACUAGAGAACUAGGGUACGGGAGAGGUGAGUGGAAUUCCGAGUGUAGAGGUGAAAUUCGUAGAUAUUCGGAAGAACACCAGUGGCGAAGGCGGCUCACCGGCCCGUUACCGACGCUCAGGCGCGACAGCGUGGGGAGCAAACAGGAUUAGAUACCCUGGUAGUCCACGCCGUAAACGAUGGAUGCUAGCCGUUGGUAAGCAUGCUUAUCAGUGGCGCAGCUAACGCAUUAAGCGUCCCGCCUGGGGAGUACGGCCGCAAGGUUG
rnacentral:rRNA from 1 species